GACGUAGGGCGCGAGCGUUGUCCGGAAUUAUUGGGCGUAAAGAGCUCGUAGGCGGUCUGUCACGUCUGCUGUGAAAACUCGGGGCUUAACCCCGGGCCUGCAGUGGGUACGGGCAGACUAGAGUGCGGUAGGGGAGACUGGAAUUCCUGGUGUAGCGGUGAAAUGCGCAGAUAUCAGGAGGAACACCGGUGGCGAAGGCGGGUCUCUGGGCCGUAACUGACGCUGAGGAGCGAAAGCGUGGGGAGCGAACAGG
rnacentral:rRNA from 1 species